UGGUGGAGUGAUUUGUCUGGUUAAUUCCGAUAACGAACGAGACUCUAGCCUACUAAAUAGACCCGCGUCUACUUUUGUCGAUGCGAGGCGCUUCUUAGAGGGACAGGCGGCGUUUCAGCCGCAUGAGAAAGAGCAAUAACA
rnacentral:rRNA from 1 species